rnacentral:rRNA from 1 species
GACGAACGCUGGCGGCGUGCUUAACACAUGCAAGACGAACGGGUCUGCCCUGUUUUUUGCGGGGUGGGUCAGUGGCGAACGGGUGAGUAACACGUGAGUAACCUGCCCCUCACUUCUGGAUAACCGCUUGAAAGGGUGGCUAAUACGGGGUGUUCUGGCUGUGCCGCAUGGUGUGGCUGGGAAAGAUUCACUUUUGUGGUGUUUUGGUGGGGGAUGGGCUCGCGGCCUAUCAGCUUGUUGGUGGGGUGAUGGCCUGCCAAGGCUUUGACGGGUAGCCGGCCUGAGAGGGUGGGCGGUCACACUGGGACUGAGAUACGGCCCAGACUCCUGCGGGAGGCAGCAGUGGGGGGUAUUGCACAAUGGGCGGAAGCCUGAUGCAGCGACGUCGCGUGAGGGAUGGAGGCCUUCGGGUUGUGAACCUCUUUCGCCGGUGAAGAAGGUCCUGCUCUUUGUGGUGGGGUUGACGGUAGCCGGGUUAUGAAGCGCCGGCUAACUACGUG